UGGGAAGAGGCCCCUGAAACUGAUUAUAGGAUAUAUCAAUAGAUGUCAAACUCAACAUUCCAUGGAAAGUCGAUUCAAUAGAACCAGAGAUCUCAUUAUGUGAAAGAUUCAAAUAUUCUAGUUUCCCUAGCUCUCCAAUUUGUCGUGGUAGCACACCCGUCAACAAGUUCUGACUAAGGUCCAUAUUUUCUAGAUUUUUCAAGUUACCUAGUUCAUACGGAAUACCCUUCUGAAAACUAUUCAUGCUCAAAUUCAAGCUCUGAAGAUUCAUGCAAUCGCCUAAUUGUUUUGGAAUCGGACCGCUCAAAUUAUUAUUUGCAAAGCUAAGAUUCCAUAAGUUUGGCAACAAGCCAAUCUCAGGAGGAAUAUAGCCAGAAAGAUUAUUGUCUUGUAGCUUAAGGUCAAAUAAUGACUUUAUAUUUCCAAAACUUUUGGGAAUUUCGCCUGCUAUAUGAUUUGAUGAGAGAUCAAGUCGAACCAACUGACUUACUUUGCCAAACUCAGGUGGUAUCCUUCCAGUGAGAUUAUUUUUGGCUAUCUUUAAGGUUUUGAGAUUCUUACAGAGACCCCACUUUAGUGACAAAUCACCGUAAAACCUGUUAUUACUCAAAUCAAUAUAGUCCAACUUUGGGUAUAUGCCAAAAUCUUCUGAUAUAUUUCCUGUAAAUUGGUUAACUUGAAGACUAAGUUUGUAUAAGCUUGUACAGUUCUUCAAGCUUAUUGGGAUAGGACCUGUGAAAAAAUUAUUAUAUGCACUAAACCAUUCAAGUAAUCCACCACGGCAUAUAUCUUGUGGUAGAUGACCAGUGAACAUGUUUUGACCUAUUUCAAAUACUUUUAGAUAUGUAAGAUUAUUCAUUUCUGGAGGAAUGGAACCAGUGAGGUGAUUUUUGAAUAAUCUUAGGUCAACAAGGGAUUUCAACUUCCCCAAACUUGAAGGUAUUGACCACGUGAGAUUGUUGUCAAACAAAUGCAAUUCCUCAAGAGAGAUAAGCAUUCCAAUUUCUUGCGGAAUGGAGCCACUAAGUUGGUUCUCAAACAUGUAGCAGAUUCUAAGGUAUGUGAGCAACCCUAUCUCGUGGGGAAUGGUCCCAGUGAGGUGAUUUUGCUGCAAGCCAAGUUCAGUGAGAGACCUUAGCUUCCCUAUCUCUUUCGGGAUAGAGCCUACGAGUAAAUUUUGAUGGAGAUAGAGAAUGGUUAGGUUGCCCAAGCUCCCUAUGGUAGACGGUAUUGAUCCCGUGAGAUUGUUGGCAGACAAAUCCAAUUUCUCAAGAGAGUUGAGCUUUCCAAUUUCUCGCGGAAUGGAACCACUGAGUUGGUUCGAAAACAUGCUGCAGAUUCUAAGGUUUGUGAGCAACCCUAUCUCGCGGGGAAUGGUCCCAGUGAGGUGAUUUUCCGGCAAGUCAAGUUCAGUGAGAGACCUUAGCUUCCCUAUCUCUUUCGGGAUAGAGCCUACGAGUAAAUUUUGAUAGAGAUAGAGAAUGGUUAGGUUGCCCAAGCUCCCUAUGGUAGACGGUAUUGAUCCCGUGAGAUUGUUGGCAUACAAAGCCAAUUCCUCAAGAGAGCUGAGCAUUCCAAUUUCUUGCGGAAUGGAACCACUGAGUUGGUUCGAAAACAUGCUGCAGAUUCUAAGGUUUGUGAGCAACCCUAUCUCGCGGGGAAUGGUCCCAGUGAGGUGAUUUUCCGACAAGUCAAGUCCAGUGAGAGACCUUAGUUUCCCUAUCUCUUUCGGGAUAGAGCCUACGAGUAAAUUUUCAUAGAGAGAGAGAAUGGUUAGGUUGCCCAAGCUCCCUAUGGUAGACGGUAUUGAUCCCGUGAGAUUGUUGGCAGACAGAAACAAUCUCUCAAGAGAACUGAGCAUUCCAAUUUCUUGGGGAAUGGAACCACUGAGUUGGUUCGCAUACAUGUCAAGUUCGGUGAGAGACCUUAGCUUCCCUAUCUCUUUCGGGAUAGAGCCUACGAGUAAAUUUUGAUAGAGAUAGAGAAUGGUUAGGUUGCCCAAGCUCCCUAUGGUAGAGGGUAUUGAUCCCGUGAGAUUGUUGGCAGACAAAUCCAAUUUCUCAAGAGAGUUGAGCUUUCCAAUUUCUCGUGGAAUGGAGCCACUGAGUUGGUUCGAAUACAUGUAGCAGAGUCUAAGGUUUGUGAGCAACCCUAUCUCGUGGGGAAUGGUCUCAGUGAGGUGAUUUGUUGACAAGUCAAGUUUAGUGAGAGACCUUAGCUUCCCUAUCUCUUUCGGGAUAGAGCCUACGAGUAAAUUUUGAUAGAGAUAGAGAAUGGUUAGGUUGCCCAAGCUCCCUAUGGUAGAUGGUAUUGAUCCCGUGAGAUUGUUGGCAUACAAAGACAAUUCCUCAAGAGAGCUGAGCAUUCCAAUUUCUUGCGGAAUGGAACCACUGAGUUGGUUCCUAGACAUGUAGCAGAUUCUAAGGUUUGUGAGCAACCCUAUCUUGUAAGGGAUAGGCCCAUAGAAUGAGUUGUCGGAAAGGGCAAGGCUUAUGAGUUGCGGGAAGGAUGAGAAAUUAAGAUGGUGAAGCGUACCUUU
rnacentral:lncRNA from 1 species